rnacentral:rRNA from 1 species
GAUGAACGCUGGCGGCGUGCCUAAUACAUGCAAGUCGAGCGAACGGACGAGAAGCUUGCUUCUCUGAUGUUAGCGGCGGACGGGUGAGUAACACGUGGAUAACCUACCUAUAAGACUGGGAUAACUUCGGGAAACCGUAGCUAAUACCGGAUAAUAUUUUGAACCGCAUGGUUAAAAAGUGAAAGACGGUCUUGCUGUCACUUAUAGAUGGACCCGCGCUGCAUUAGCUAGUUGGUAAGGUAACGGCUUACCAAGGCAACGAUGCAUAGCCGACCUGAGAGGGUGAUCGGCCACACUGGAACUGAGACACGGUCCAGACUCCUACGGGAGGCAGCAGUAGGGAAUCUUCCGCAGUGGGCGAAAGCCUGACGGAGCAACGCCGCGUGAGUGAUGAAGGUCUUCGGAUCGUAAAACUCUGUUAUUAGGGAAGAACAUAUGUGUAAGUAACUGUGCACAUCUUGACGGUACCUAAUCAGAAAGCCACGGCUAACUACGUG